rfam:Picea glauca, whole genome shotgun sequence.
UCUUAUGUACAUGCUUACAACAUAAAGUUAAUGCAUCAGAUCCCAUUAGAACUCCAUAGUUAAGCAUGCUCGGGCUAGAGUAGUAUUGGGAUGGGUGAUUGUUUGGGAAGUCCUAUUGUUUUAUAUGCC